rnacentral:rRNA from 1 species
GCUGGCAGCUAACUCUGCAACUCACUUACAUGAUCACUUACUAAAGCUAACCAGGGUUGCGUCGGGUCAGUACCUUGAUGGGAAACCACAUGGGAAAGCUAGGUUGCUGCUGGAA